rnacentral:tRNA from 1 species
GCGGCCGUGAUCCAGUGGUUAGGAUAUAGGCUUCCCAAGCCUGUCGCCCGGGUCCGAAUCCCGGCGGCCGCA